UAUUGUAAAAGAACUGCACGUAUAUUAAAAAUGAAUUUCUUGAAUAUUUUCGUAUUUAUUGCCGUUAUUUUGGCCAUAUUCACCGUCCCAAUCGAUGGCAGAAGGAAGGGCGGUAAAAAAGGUAGCAGCGACAAAUAUUGGAGGGCAGGGGCCCACGUUGCCGGAAAGGCCGUUGAAGGAGUAGCUGCUGCAGCAGUGCAACAAGCUGGUUAACUUACAUUUCUGUAGAAAGUGUUGCUUGCAGGAUGAUUAUCGUACCUUACAUUUCUAAAUCAAAAUAAAUGCUUUAAGAAUAUAAAA